UAGCGGGAGGCUUAACACAUGCAAGUCGAGGGGCAGCACGAGGUAGCAAUACUUUGGUGGCGACCGGCGCACGGGUGAGUAACACGUAUGCAACCUACCCUGUACAGGGGGAUAGCCCGGAGAAAUUCGGAUUAAUACCCCAUGAUUAUAUCGAGAGGCAUCUUUUGAUAUUUAAAGUUUCGACGGUACAGGAUGGGCAUGCGCAACAUUAGCUAGUUGGUAGGGUAACGGCCUACCAAGGCUACGAUGUUUAGGGGACCUGAGAGGGUGAUCCCCCACACUGGUACUGAGACACGGACCAGACUCCUACGGGAGGCAGCAGUGAGGAAUAUUGGUCAAUGGGCGUAAGCCUGAACCAGCCAUCCCGCGUGAAGGAAGAAGGCGCUAUGCGUUGUAAACUUCUUUUCCAGAGGAAGAAAACCCCUGACGAGUCAGGGCUUGCCGGUACUCUGGGAAUAAGCAUCGGCUAACUCCGUGCCAGCAGCCGCGGUAAUACGGAGGAUGCGAGCGUUAUCCGGAUUUAUUGGGUUUAAAGGGUGCGUAGGCGGAUUAAUAAGUCAGUGGUGAAAACCUUCAGCUUAACUGGAGACUUGCCAUUGAUACUGUUAGUCUUGAGUACGGUCAAGGUAGGCGGAAUGUGUAAUGUAGCGGUGAAAUGCUUAGAUAUUACACAGAACACCGAUUGCGAAGGCAGCUUACUGGGCCAUUACUGACGCUGAUGCACGAAAGCGUGGGGAGCGAACAGGAUUAGAUACCCUGGUAGUCCACGCCGUAAACGAUGAUCACUCGCUGUUGGCGAUACACAGUCAGCGGCUAAGCAAAAGCAUUAAG
rnacentral:rRNA from 1 species